rnacentral:lncRNA from 1 species
AGCUGUAGUUUCUCAGCUUAUUUUAUGGCUGAGUUUCAUAAAUGAAAUAAUAUAAUUUUUGUAGUUGCUGCCUGAAUAGAAGUUUUAUUAUUUUCCAUUAAUGUUAUCAUUAUUCUUGAAGAGAGAACAUAGUUAAGUAGCCAAAAAGCCAAAAAGUAACACUGACUAUUUAUUAUGGAGUUUUAAAUGUAAGACCCUGUUGGACUCGGAGUACAAUUGAGGAUCGAUAUCGGAGAAAUUCCUGUCUAUAUGUAUCAUUGCUACAUACGGAGGGGUGUUUGAGUUUAUUUCCUUUAUCUCAUAAUUACUCGCAGCUAAUUUAAAGAAAUGUUAUGACAGCACAAUGACAUAUUUUUUUCUACUUUGCUGAUAUUUGGCUUCUUAUAGUUUGGUCUCUGAUUUAGUUAUGGUCCUAUGGAUGAGAAUCUGAUAAGAUUUCUGAACUAACACUCUUUUCCCAAACAAAAAUUAUGAUAAUGCUCCGGAUAAGUGAUAAUACAUUUAUGAUGAGUAAUUGAACCGUUAUAUUAGAAAAAAUAUCCAUUUUUCUAUCAAUGGUUGAUGUGACCAACAAAUAAUUAAUGGAAUAUUUGAACGCUGGUACACUUAUAAUUAAAUAUAAAGUUAUGAUAAGUCCUUGCGACUUAUGAUUCAUAAGUCAUGAUGGUUGUUAAAUUAAAAAAGUUAUAAGAUAUUAAUUAUGUGGAUUUAAUGAAAAAUAAUUAUUGGAUCUUUAUUACUGCUAUAUUUACACUGUCCAUUACUAGAAUAAAUUAAUUAUUUCGAAA